rnacentral:sRNA from 1 species
AACCCCAACGAAGCUCGGAAGCUGCAAAUCAUCCAGACCAGCUUGAAACUAUUGCCAUAUAGCUCUUACCAAGCUCCUUUCGCGCGGCCCACAAGGGAGAAUUCGGCUUCAGUUCGUUUCCGAUCUUCAUCUCGAAGUUGGCCCGCAGUAUGCAGCAUUCAACAUCAUACCGCAUGCCACUCACCUAAUUUUAGCUGGCGACAUCGGCCGUCUUGCGGGUUAUGAUGGUUUUCGCGGUUUUUUACAGUCCCAGUGCGAAAAGUUUGCAGCAGUGUACCUUGUUCUUGGGAACCAUGAGUUCUUUGGAGUCUCACGCCAAGAAGGCCUGGGUCUGGCGGCAAAGCUCCAGGAAGAGCCAGGACUGAAAGAGAGGUUGAUUAUCAUGAACACUCAGCAUUGAUAUGCUUUGCUGCUCCCUCAUCAUCAAUAUCCACUCACUUGUGCUUGAAGCUUUCAGAAGUGGUGAUAUGAACUUUCAGCUUCAUAUCAUCUUUCACUGCAACUUAUGAGAUGCAGAGCAUAUCACUCUUCAAUAUCAAUGUACAAUUCCAUCAUUUCUUGAAAGCAGAAAUACAGUGUAAAUCAUCAUAAUGAUACUGAAGUUCUCAAAUUGAGAUGAAAAGCAGAUCACAGUCAUAAAUGAAGCUGCAGUUUUGUAAUAGGCGCAACGGAGAUAUCUAUAUUAGGAAAUAGCUAUGUGGCAAUAGAAGAACAC